GUAGUAUUCCCUUCGUCCCAAAAUUCUUGUCUUACAUUUGUUUAGAUACGGAUGUAUCUAACACUAAAAUGUAACUAGACACAUCCGUAUUUAGACAAAUUUAAGACAAGAAUUUUGGGACGGAGGGAGUACAAA
rnacentral:pre_miRNA from 1 species